UAUUUUUAUAGAGUGACCAUGGGUCAAUGCGCACCCGCGCUUUUUAGGGUAGCGUCACUCCCGUACUAGGCACCGUUGUGAGUGGACGUGUAUAUGUUGCGUCUAUAUAUUUAGCGCAUCCGUGUUGUACCAAUCUACAUCACUCAUUUAUAUGCGCUGUAAUAUUGUACGGGUUGUCUCCCCGGGAGUCGAGCCCUCUUCGUCAAAUGAAGAGGUAGGUUUUUUAUAUGGCUCCAUUUAUAUUGUGUUGGUAGCAUCAUUUUUAAGAAUAUUCAUGUACAUGAGAAAUUGUCAUUGUUUGUAUAAGCGUUACGCACUUGCUACUUUGUCAGAUCUGUAAUGUGCAUAGUUCAGUAGUAGUUGUAACGUUUAUGAUUACGCCUGGGUUAGUAGGUGUUCUUGAAUCUUAGGUUCUAAGCGUUAUGCUUCCGGUUGCGUCAGGUGCGUACACCUGUCGUGUUAUUGUGGGAUGGAUUAUUCCACUUUGAGAUUGUAACUAUUUUACUUAUUGUUGUUAUUUGUUAUUUUAGGGUGUUUUAUGGACUAAUAAAUUAUGAAUUGGAA